rnacentral:rRNA from 1 species
GAUCCUGGCUCAGAUUGAACGCUGGCGGCAUGCCUUACACAUGCAAGUCGAACGGCAGCACGGGAGCAAUCCUGGUGGCGAGUGGCGAACGGGUGAGUAAUAUAUCGGAACGUGCCCAGUCGUGGGGGAUAACGUAGCGAAAGCUACGCUAAUACCGCAUACGAUCUACGGAUGAAAGCGGGGGAUCGCAAGACCCCGCGCGAUUGGAGCGGCCGAUAUCAGAUUAGGUAGUUGGUGGGGUAAAGGCUCACCAAGCCAACGAUCUGUAGCUGUUCUGAGAGGAAGAACAGUCACACUGGGACUGAGACACGGCCCAGACUCCUACGGGAGGCAGCAGUGGGGAAUUUUGGACAAUGGGGGCAACCUGAUCCAGCUAUGCCGCGUGAGUGAAGAAGGCCUUCGGGUUGUAAAGCUCUUUGUCAGGAAAGAAAUGUUGCCGGUAAUGCGGUAACUUGACGGUACCUGAAGAAUAAGCACCGGCUAACUCUGUG